UACGGGGGGGGCAAGCGUUGUUCGGAAUUACUGGGCGUAAAGGGCUCGUAGGUGGCCAACUAAGUCAGAACGUGAAAUCCCUCAGCUUAACUGGGGAACUGCGUCUGAUACUGGAUGGCUUGAGUUUGGGAGAGGGAUGCGGAAUUCCAGGUGUAGCGGUGAAAUGCGUAGAUAUCUGGAGGAACACCGGUGGCGAAGGCGGCAUCCUGGACCAACACUGACACUGAGGAGCGAAAGCCAGGGGAGCAAACGGG
rnacentral:rRNA from 1 species